UCAUUAUCUCUUCCAAGGUCGCUAGGGUUGAAACCCUAGCGCCACCUCCCUUUUCCGUUCUCUCUCUCUCUCUCUCUUCCUGUGCCAUCGGUUGUUUAGGCAUGUCAUCAGCCGCAGCUAAGCCUAUAGGGUAUUUUAUUUAUCAUUUCUUUAUUUUUUUUGCAUUUACAAGUGGGUUGAGUGAAUCCGGCUCAAAUCGAGUCGUUGAUUACCCUUCUACGCAUCUUGAUCGUCUAUUUGACGAGUUAAGUGGAGACUUGUGAAAAAUCCACAAGACCCACAUCGAUGCUUCAAGGUUUAAGACGAAUUUUAGGGUUCUACUUCACAAAUUAAGAAGUUUGGAGAAUACCUGGAUAAGAAAAGAAAGCUUAGAUUUCGAGUAUUCACACAUGAAAUUAGGGCUAUUAGUAAAAAAAAUCAUCCUUGGCUGCAAAAGUUAAGGGUCUUAGUUAAAAAUUUGUUUUUUUUUUGUUUUUGUUUUAUGGCUUGAGUUUUGGGAAUUGGAAGCAUAAAGGCCCCAAAUUCAACUCUUGAUACGGCUGCACACACAAAAGGCCCAACAGGUCAAUUCCUUCAUGGAAUAAUCGAGCCUGGCAAAGAAAAGGGGAAAUAAAUGGCAUAGGCGUAUUGAAGGCCCAACAAUGGGUGAAAAUGAUUAACUAGGGGCUUGGUACGCCCCUAGCCUAACUUAUCCUUAAUUUUCGAUUAAGUUGUGUUUCAUGAUUGUAUUUGUAUUGUAAUUGUAAAUACUCAAUUCUUAUUGGAAUCAUUAUGGUUUGAACUA